UACGUAGGUGGCAAGCGUUGUCCGGAUUUAUUGGGUUUAAAGGGUGCGUAGGCGGCUUUGUAAGUCAGUGGUGAAAUACUCCAGCUUAACUGGAGGGGUGCCAUUGAUACUGCGGAGCUUGAGUACAGAUGAGGUAGGCGGAAUUGACGGUGUAGCGGUGAAAUGCAUAGAUAUCGUCAAGAACACCGAUAGCGAAGGCAGCUUACUGGGCUGUAAACUGACGCUGAUGCACGAAAGUGUGGGGAUCAAACAGG
rnacentral:rRNA from 1 species